UAGGGAAUAUUGCGCAAUGGGCGAAAGCCUGACGCAGCCACGCCGCGUGAGUGAAGAAGGCCUUCGGGUUGUAAAGCUCUGUCGUCUAGGAAAAACGAGUAGUCGGGGAAAGUUCGAUUACUGUGAUUGUACUAGAGAAGGAAGCACCGGCUAACUCUGUGCCAGCAGCCGCGGUAAUACAGAGGGUGCAAGCGUUGUUCGGAAUUACUGGGCGUAAAGCGUGCGUAGGCUGUAUUGAGAGUCACAGGUGAAAUCCCAGAGCUUAACUCUGGAACUGCCCGUGAGACCUCAGUACUAGAGUGUGAAAGGGGACAUUGGAAUUCCAAGUGUAGCGGUGAAAUGCGUAGAGAUUUGGAGGAACACCGGUGGCGAAGGCGGAUGUCUGGUUCACAACUGACGC
rnacentral:rRNA from 1 species